rnacentral:tRNA from 1 species
GUCUCUGUAGCUUAUAACAAAGCAUGACACUGAAGAUGUCAAGAUGGAUGCUACACGCACCCAAAGACA